rnacentral:rRNA from 1 species
AGUGAACGCUGGCGGUAGGCCUAACACAUGCAAGUCGAACGGCAGCACAGUAAGAGCUUGCUCUUACGGGUGGCGAGUGGCGGACGGGUGAGGAAUACAUCGGAAUCUACUUUUUCGUGGGGGAUAACGUAGGGAAACUUACGCUAAUACCGCAUACGACCUACGGGUGAAAGCAGGGGAUCUUCGGACCUUGCGCGAUUGAACGAGCCGAUGUCGGAUUAGCUAGUUGGCGGGGUAAAGGCCCACCAAGGCGACGAUCCGUAGCUGGUCUGAGAGGAUGAUCAGCCACACUGGAACUGAGCCACGGUCCAGACUCCUACGGGAGGCAGCAGUGGGGAAUAUUGGACAAUGGGCGCAAGCCUGAUCCAGCCAUACCGCGUAGGUGAAGGAGGCCUUCGGGUUGUAAAGCCCUUUUGUUGGGAAAGAAAAGCAGCAGGUUAAUACCCCGCUGUUCUGACGGUACCCAAAGAAUAAGCACCGGCUAACUUCGUG